GAUUGAACGCUGGCGGCAGGCCUAACACAUGCAAGUCGAACGGUAACAGGAAGCAGCUUGCUGCUUUGCUGACGAGUGGCGGACGGGUGAGUAAUGUCUGGGAAACUGCCUGAUGGAGGGGGAUAACUACUGGAAACGGUAGCUAAUACCGCAUAACGUCGCAAGACCAAAGAGGGGGACCUUCGGGCCUCUUGCCAUCGGAUGUGCCCAGAUGGGAUUAGCUAGUAGGUGGGGUAACGGCUCACCUAGGCGACGAUCCCUAGCUGGUCUGAGAGGAUGACCAGCCACACUGGAACUGAGACACGGUCCAGACUCCUACGGGAGGCAGCAGUGGGGAAUAUUGCACAAUGGGCGCAAGCCUGAUGCAGCCAUGCCGCGUGUAAGAAGAAGGCCUUCGGGUUGUAAAGUACUUUCAGCGGGGAGGAACGCGAUAAGGUUAAUAACCUUGUCGAUUGAUGUUACCCGCAGAAGAAGCACCGGCUAACUCCGUGCCAGCAGCCGCGGUAAUACGGAGGGUGCAAGCGUUAAUCCUCAUUACUGCGCGUGUAGCGCACGCACGCGGUCUGUCAAGUCGGGAUGUGAGAUCCCCGGGCUCAACCUGGCAACUGCAUUCUAAACUGGCAGGCUAUAGUCUUGUAGAGGGGGGUAGAAUUCCAGGUGUAGCGGAGACAUGCGUCGUGAUCUGGAGGAAUACCGGUGGCGAAGGCAGCCCCCUGGACAAAGACUGACGCUCAGGUGCGAAAGCGUGUGGAGAAAACAGGAGUAGAUACUCUGUUAGUCCACGCCGUAAACGAUGUCUACUUGAAGAUUGUA
rnacentral:rRNA from 1 species